rnacentral:rRNA from 1 species
UUUAUGGAGAGUUUGAUCCUGGCUCAGGAUGAACGCUGGCGGCGUGCCUAAUACAUGCAAGUCGAGCGAACGGAYGAGAAGCUUGCUUCUCUGAUGUUAGCGGCGGACGGGUGAGUAACACGUGGAUAACCUACCUAUAAGACUGGGAUAACUUCGGGAAACCGGAGCUAAUACCGGAUAAUAUUUUGAACCGCAUGGUUCAAAAGUGAAAGACGGUCUUGCUGUCACUUAUAGAUGGAUCCGCGCUGCAUUAGCUAGUUGGUAAGGUAACGGCUUACCAAGGCAACGAUGCAUAGCCGACCUGAGAGGGUGAUCGGCCACACUGGAACUGAGACACGGUCCAGACUCCUACGGGAGGCAGCAGUAGGGAAUCUUCCGCAAUGGGCGAAAGCCUGACGGAGCAACGCCGCGUGAGUGAUGAAGGUCUUCGGAUCGUAAAACUCUGUUAUUAGGGAAGAACAUAUGUGUAAGUAACUGUGCACAUCUUGACGGUACCUAAUCAGAAAGCCACGGCUAACUACGUGCCAGCAGCCGCGGUAAUACGUAGGUGGCAAGCGUUAUCCGGAAUUAUUGGGCGUAAAGCGCGCGUAGGCGGUUUUUUAAGUCUGAUGUGAAAGCCCACGGCUCAACCGUGGAGGGUCAUUGGAAACUGGAAAACUUGAGUGCAGAAGAGGAAAGUGGAAUUCCAUGUGUAGCGGUGAAAUGCGCAGAGAUAUGGAGGAACACCAGUGGCGAAGGCGACUUUCUGGUCUGUAACUGACGCUGAUGUGCGAAAGCGUGGGGAUCAAACAGGAUUAGAUACCCUGGUAGUCCACGCCGUAAACGAUGAGUGCUAAGUGUUAGGGGGUUUCCGCCCCUUAGUGCUGCAGCUAACGCAUUAAGCACUCCGCCUGGGGAGUACGACCGCAAGGUUGAAACUCAAAGGAAUUGACGGGGACCCGCACAAGCGGUGGAGCAUGUGGUUUAAUUCGAAGCAACGCGAAGAACCUUACCAAAUCUUGACAUCCUUUGACAACUCUAGAGAUAGAGCCUUCCCCUUCGGGGGACAAAGUGACAGGUGGUGCAUGGUUGUCGUCAGCUCGUGUCGUGAGAUGUUGGGUUAAGUCCCGCAACGAGCGCAACCCUUAAGCUUAGUUGCCAUCAUUAAGUUGGGCACUCUAAGUUGACUGCCGGUGACAAACCGGAGGAAGGUGGGGAUGACGUCAAAUCAUCAUGCCCCUUAUGAUUUGGGCUACACACGUGCUACAAUGGACAAUACAAAGGGCAGCGAAACCGCGAGGUCAAGCAAAUCCCAUAAAGUUGUUCUCAGUUCGGAUUGUAGUCUGCAACUCGACUACAUGAAGCUGGAAUCGCUAGUAAUCGUAGAUCAGCAUGCUACGGUGAAUACGUUCCCGGGUCUUGUACACACCGCCCGUCACACCACGAGAGUUUGUAACACCCGAAGCCGGUGGAGUAACCUUUUAGGAGCUAGCCGUCGAAGGU